rnacentral:rRNA from 1 species
GGGCUUCUAGCGUGUAGGCUUUGCCUGCUAUCUCUUACCCAUGUCUUUUGAGUACCUUACGUUUCCUCGGCGGGUCCGCCCGCCGAUUGGACAAUUUAAACCAUUUGCAGUUGCAAUCAGCGUCUGAAAAAACUUAAUAGUUACAACUUUCAACAACGGAUCUCUUGGUUCUGGCAUCGAUGAAGAACGCAGCGAAAUGCGAUAAGUAGUGUGAAUUGCAGAAUUCAGUGAAUCAUCGAAUCUUUGAACGCACAUUGCGCCCCUUGGUAUUCCAUGGGGCAUGCCUGUUCGAGCGUCAUUUGUACCUUCAAGCUCUGCUUGGUGUUGGGUGUUUGUCUCGCCUCUGCGUGUAGACUCGCCUCAAAACAAUUGGCAGCCGGCGUAUUGAUUUCGGAGCGCAGUACAUCUCGCGCUUUGCACUCAUAACGACGACGUCCAAAAGUACAUUUUUACACUCUUGACCUCGGAUCAGGUAGGGAUACCCGCUGAACUUAAGCAUAUCAAUAAGCGGAGGAA